GGGGGAUAACAGUCAGAAAUGGCUGCUAAUACCGCAUAAGCGCACAGAGCUGCAUGGCUCAGUGUGAAAAACUCCGGUGGUAUAAGAUGGACCCGCGUUGGAUUAGCUGGUUGGUGGGGUAACGGCCCACCAAGGCGACGAUCCAUAGCCGGCCUGAGAGGGUGAACGGCCACAUUGGGACUGAGACACGGCCCAGACUCCUACGGGAGGCAGCAGUGGGGAAUAUUGCACAAUGGGGGAAACCCUGAUGCAGCGACGCCGCGUGAAGGAAGAAGUAUCUCGGUAUGUAAACUUCUAUCAGCAGGGAAGAUAAUGACGGUACCUGACUAAGAAGCCCCGGCUAACUACGUG
rnacentral:rRNA from 1 species